rfam:Ictidomys tridecemlineatus contig024908, whole genome shotgun sequence.
GGGGAUAUAAUUCAGUUGGUAGAGUUCCUGCCUCACAUGCAUGAGGCCCUGGGUUCAAUUCCCAGCACUACCA